rnacentral:rRNA from 1 species
AUCUGACGGUACCUAUCGAAUCAGCAUCGGCUAACUCCGUGCCAGCAGCCGCGGUAAUACGGAGGAUGCAAGCGUUAUCCGGAAUUAUUGGGCGUAAAGCGUCCGUAGGUGGUUUUAYAAGUCUGUUGUCAAAUCCCGAGGCUUAACCUCGUACAGGCAGUGGAAACUAUAAGNCUAGAGUGUGGUAGGGGUAGAGGGAAUUUCCAGUGUAGCGGUGAAAUGCGUAGAUAUUGGAAAGAACACCGGUGGCGAAG